rnacentral:rRNA from 1 species
UACGGGGGGGGCAAGCGUUGUUCGGAAUUACUGGGCGUAAAGGGCUCGUAGGCGGCCAACUAAGUCAGACGUGAAAUCCCUCAGCUUAACUGGGGAACUGCGUCUGAUACUGGAUGGCUUGGAUUCGGGAGAGGAAUGCGGAAUUCCAGGUGUAGCGGUGAAAUGCGUAGAUAUCUGGAGGAACACCGGUGGCGAAGGCGGCAUUCUGGACCGAUAUUGACGCUGAGGAGCGAAAGCCAGGGGAGCAAAUGGG